CAGUAGCGGCGAGCGAACGGGGAGCAGCCCAGAGCCUGAAUCAGUGUGUGUGUUAGUGGAAGCGUCUGGAAAGGCGCGCGAUACAGGGUGACAGCCCCGUACACAAAAAUGCACAUACUGUGAGCUCGAUGAGUAGGGCGGGACACGUGGUAUCCUGUCUGAAUAUGGGGGGACCAUCCUCCAAGGCUAAAUACUCCUGACUGACCGAUAGUGAACCAGUACCGUGAGGGAAAGGCGAAAAGAACCCCGGCGAGGGGAGUGAAAAAGAACCUGAAACCGUGUACGUACAAGCAGUGGGAGCCUCUUUAUGGGGUGACUGCGUACCUUUUGUAUAAUGGGUCAGCGACUUAUAUUCUGUAGCAAGGUUAACCGAAUAGGGGAGCCGAAGGGAAACCGAGUCUUAACUGGGCGUUAAGUUGCAGGGUAUAGACCCGAAACCCGGUGAUCUAGCCAUGGGCAGGUUGAAGGUUGGGUAACACUAACUGGAGGACCGAACCGACUAAUGUUGAAAAAUUAGCGGAUGACUUGUGGCUGGGGGUGAAAGGCCAAUCAAACCGGGAGAUAGCUGGUUCUCCCCGAAAGCUAUUUAGGUAGCGCCUCGUGAAUUCAUCUCCGGGGGUAGAGCACUGUUUCGGCAAGGGGGUCAUCCCGACUUACCAACCCGAUGCAAACUGCGAAUACCGGAGAAUGUUAUCACGGGAGACACACGGCGGGUGCUAACGUCCGUCGUGAAGAGGGAAACAACCCAGACCGCCAGCUAAGGUCCCAAAGUCAUGGUUAAGUGGGAAACGAUGUGGGAAGGCCCAGACAGCCAGGAUGUUGGCUUAGAAGCAGCCAUCAUUUAAAGAAAGCGUAAUAGCUCACUGGUCGAGUCGGCCUGCGCGGAAGAUGUAACGGGGCUAAACCAUGCAC
rnacentral:rRNA from 1 species